rnacentral:rRNA from 1 species
ACAGAGGGGGAUACCAGUUGGAAACGACUGUUAAUACCGCAUAAUGUCUACGGACCAAAGUGUGGGACCUUCGGGCCACAUGCUGUCGGAUGCGCCUACGUGGGAUUAGCUAGUUGGUGAGGUAAUGGCUCACCAAGGCGACGAUCCCUAGCUGGUUUGAGAGGAUGAUCAGCCACACUGGAACUGAGACACGGUCCAGACUCCUACGGGAGGCAGCAGUGGGGAAUAUUGGACAAUGGGCGAAAGCCUGAUCCAGCCAUGCCGCGUGUGUGAAGAAGGCCUUCGGGUUGUAAAGCACUUUCAGUAGGGAGGAAGAGUUGAGUGUUAAUAGUACUCAGCUUUGACGUUACCUACAGAAGAAGCACCGGCUAACUCUGUGCCAGCAGCCGCGGUAAUACAGAGGGUGCAAGCGUUAAUCGGAAUUACUGGGCGUAAAGCGCACGCAGGCGGUUGGUUAAGUCAGAUGUGAAAGCCCCGGGCUCAACCUGGGAAUUGCAUUUGAAACUGGCCAACUAGAGUACGUGAGAGGGGGGUAGA